GAAACGACUGCUAAGACUGGAUAGGAGACAAGAAGGCAUCUUCUUUUUUUUAAAAGACCUAGCAAUAGGUAUGCUUAGGGAGGAGCUUGCGUCACAUUAGUUAGUUGGUGGGGUAAAGGCCUACCAAGACUAUGAUGUGUAGCCGGGCUGAGAGGUUGAACGGCCACAUUGGGACUGAGACACGGCCCAAACUCCUACGGGAGGCAGCAGUAGGGAAUUUUCGGCAAUGGAGGAAACUCUGACCGAGCAACGCCGCGUGAACGAUGAAGUAUUUCGGUACGUAAAGUUCUUUUAUUAGGGAAGAAUAAAUGAUGGAAAAAUCAUUCUGACGGUACCUAAUGAAUAAGCCCCGGCUAACUAUGUGCCAGCAGCCGCGGUAAUACAUAGGGUGCAAGCGUUAUCCGGAAUUAUUGGGCGUAAAGGGUGCGUAGGCGGUUAAAUAAGUUUAUGGUCUAAGUGCAAUGCUCAACAUUGUGAUGCUAUAAAAACUGUUUAGCUAGAGUAAGAUAGAGGCAAGUGGAAUUCCAUGUGUAGUGGUAAAAUGCGUAAAUAUAUGGAGGAACACCAGUAGCGAAGGCGGCUUGCUGGGUCUUUACUGACGCUGAGUCACGAAAGCGUGGGGAGCAAACAGGAUUAGAUACCCUGGUAGUCCACGCCGUAAACGAUGAGUACUAAACGUUGGGUAAAACCAGUGUUGAAGUUAACACAUUAAGUACUCCGCCUGAGUAGUACGUACGCAAGUAUGAAACUUAAAGGAAAUGACGGGACUCCGCACAAGCGGUGGAUCAUGUUGUUUAAUUCGAAGGUACCCGAAAAACCUCACCAGGUCUUGACAUGCUUCUGCAAAGCUGUAGAAACACAGUGGAGGUUAUCAGUUGCACAGGUGGUGCAUGGUUGUCGUCAGCUCGUGUCGUGAGAUGUUGGGUUAAGUCCCGCAACGAGCGCAACCCUUAUUGUUAGUUACCAGCACGUAAUGGUGGGGACUUUAGCAAGACUGCCAGUGAUAAAUUGGAGGAAGGUGGGGACGACGUCAAAUCAUCAUGCCCCUUAUGACCUGGGCUACAAACGUGAUACAUUGGCUGUUACAAAGGGUAGCUGAAGCGCAAGUUUUUGGCGAAUCUCAAAAAAACAGUCUCAGUUCGGAUUGAAGUCUGCAACUCGACUUCAUGAAGUUGGAAUCGCCAGUAAUCGCGAAUCAGCAUGUCGCGGUGAAUACGUUCUCGGGGUUUGUACACACGGCCCGUCA
rnacentral:rRNA from 1 species